rnacentral:tRNA from 1 species
GGCGCAGUGGCCGAGGAGCUAGGCAGUGGUCUGCAAAACCAUCUACACCGGUGCGACUCCGGUCUGCGCCU